GGCAUUAAAACAUAGUCAUUAUGGAGCAUGAAAUAUAGGACUGAUCGAGUGACCCAACUUUGGUCCUAACCUGAAUAGAUCCUUCUAUCCAGUUUUAAGAUUGCACAUCACCUUAUAUCAGAGAACUGAUCCAAUGUAUCACAACAUAUAUGCAGUGUUUUUCUUUCUUUUUUCUUAAAAAUGAUUGAUUCCUGGAAAAGCAAUUCUAAUGUAUAAAAAAUAAAAAAAUAAUUUCCAUUAAAAG
rnacentral:lncRNA from 1 species